rnacentral:rRNA from 1 species
UACGGAGGGUGCAAGCGUUAUUCGGAAUUACUGGGCGUAAAGCGCACGAAGGAGGUUUUGUUAGUCGGAUGUGAAAGCCCUGGGCUUAACCUGGGAAUUGCAUUCGAUACUGCUUGUCUAGAGUAUGGUAGAGGGAGGUGGAAUUUCCGGUGUAGCGGUGAAAUGCGUAGAUAUCGGAAGGAACACCAGUGGCGAAGGCGACUUCCUGGGCCAAUACUGACGCUGAGGUGCGAAAGCGUGGGUAGCAAACAGG